rnacentral:rRNA from 1 species
GCGUGCUUUAGAGUCGGGUUGUUUGGGAUCGCAGCCCAAAGUCGGUGGUAAACUUCAUCUAAGACUYAAUAUUGCCACGAGACCGAUAGCAAACAAGUACUGUGAAGGAAAGUUGCAAAGCACUUUGAAGAGAGAGUUAAAGAGGACGUGAAACCGGUGAGGUGGAAACGGAUAGAGUCGGCGUAUCAUUCAAGUAUUCAKUUACAUUAUUUUUAUGUUGUGAYCUCUGAGCUCCAGAUUGGGACAGAGGGAAKCAGCAUAAUUUUYUGUGRUGCAUUUACUUGWUUGGUGCUUGGGGAUGUUUGAGGCAGAUUUGUKUCCGYCGUUUUGAGGCCAGCUUGCUGGUACCCAAACGGUGUUAGCAUUUUUUGUCUUGGGCAUUUGAGUAUGGCUYACGKGYAUUUAUUGGWYAGAUCUGAGUGUAAGUUACGGUCGCAUGCGACACGUGCUUUUCAAUUAGUUCGGUCCAGUUAAUGCUCUCGUACUCGUUCCCCAUGUAAAAGCCGGUCAUCUAUCCGACCCGUCUUGAAACACGGACCAAGGAGUUUAUCGUGUGCGCAAGUUUUUGGGUGUUAAAAACCUAAAGGCGAAAUGAAAGUAAAUGRCUCUUUAGAGUCUGAUGUGCGAUCUWGUAAAAAAGUGYAGCAUGGCCCCAUUCUAACUGUUUACAGUAGGGUGGMGGAAGAGCGUACGCGGUGAGACCCGAAAGAUGGUGAACUAUUCCUGAGCAG